rnacentral:rRNA from 1 species
GGGGGGGGGGGGGGGGGGGGGGGGGGCGGGGGGGGCGGGCGGGGGGGCGCGGGGGGGGUGGGGGGCUCGAGGGGCGGGGGGGGGAGGGACACGUGGGGGGCCUGCCCUGGGCCCUGGGGUGACUUCAGGGAACCGCGGCCCACGCCCGCGAGCCGCUCCCGCCCCACGCUCUCGGCUGGCCACCUUCGGCGGUUGGGGCUGGCCCCGCGGCCUACCAGCUUGUUGGUGGGGUUGGGGCUUACCCAGGCUUUGACGGGUAGCCGGCCUGGGAGGGUGACCGGCCACAGUGGGACUGAGAUACGGCCCAGACUCCUACGGGAGGCAGCAGUGGGGAAUAUUGCACAAUGGGCGGAAGCCUGAUGCAGCAACGCCGCGUGCGGGAUGACGGCCUUCGGGUUGUAAACCGCUUUCGCCUGUGACGAAGCGUGAGUGACGGUAAUGGGUAAAGAAGCACCGGCUAACUACGUG